ensembl:lncRNA
GGGGUGGUGCUUACAGACACAAGGCUGUGUACAGAUAGGAUCACCACUAGGUAUGGUUUCAAAUAUAUAUAUAUAUUUAUAUAUUUUUUUUGGCUAAUUUGUGACUCAAUCAACCUCCCUCGGUCGCUUCCUAAAAUCCCCCUCUCCGCUUCAUUCACUCUACUCCCUGUUGACCUGGAGGUCCCACUUCAGGCAACGUCCACACACUAAUGCCACAAAAAUAACAAAGUAUUGAUCUCUAAUCGUGUUUGAGCCACGUCCUGCGGCCUGGUUGGAUGAAAGCCUGGCCUACGGCAGCACACGGCUCAUUAUGCUAGUAUUAACACAAACUACAAAUUGUACGGAUAGUCCCGAGUAAUUCCGUCGUUUUACAGUAGUGUCAAGAUUUACCAAGUGAGGUCCUACAGUAAUACACGUACCGGGUUGGGCGUGGUCUGAGGAUGACCGAGUGGUGUUGGAGCGUCCUCUGGUGCACGUGUCUUUAUAACACAUCUCUUCUCUCGGGUAGAAGUCUGGAAAGAGGCUAAGGCAGUAUUGUGGUUCUCCCUCUUUUGGUUCAUCAGUGGUCUCCCCCCUCCCGUCCUUUGAGCACUGGCCAGAGAAUGGACUGAUGGGUCCAGUUUGUGUAUUUAGUUUUUCCUUCACUGCAGAACAAUCUCUUUCGUUGCCUUUCAGAGGGUUAUAGACGGCUGACGGUCCUUUCCUGGAAGCAGGGGGACCGUCAGCCAUCAUGGUCGACCGGUACUCUGGUCGGGACCAUGGACGCACUCCACUCCGCUUUUGGAAAAGAACUAGUGCAUGCAGAGAAGUGGAGUGCUUAUUAACAAGUAAACUUUCACCACCACCCUGUUCACCCCGUUUUUCUCUCUCCUAUGACAACAUGACCAGAACACUACUGUUUGUAGGACCACUCCAUUGUUAUUAUUUUUUGUUUCUUUAUUUUGAACGACUAAUGAAACCCAAUGGUCAUGUGUCACGGUGUAUGAUUUUUCUAUUUUUUAUUUUCUUCUUUAUUUUGUAUGUAAUUCAAAUGUAAAUGAUGUAUUAUAAUGAGUGUGCCAACCCCACUCUCUUUCUCUCUCUCUCCAGAGCCAGGCUCUCUCCAAGUGCCAACGCUGUGGUCAUUAUCAAAGGGCCCUCAUCUUAGACGGUCCCCCCUUAAAACACACACACACACACACACACACACACACACACACACACACACACACACACACACACACACACACACACACACACACACACACACACACACACACACACACACACACACACACACACACACACACACAAGAGACUAAAGGAAAGAUUGAUUAAGUACACACAAAAUACUUUAUUCUGUAUUUAAGAUUGGUGAUUUAAACGAUAAUCUGCUGUUUUUUUAAGAAACUGUAAUUAUAAUUGCAUGUACUGUUUGUUUUGUGUUGGAAGUGAGGGCUUGGAUGUAUUCAUUAAUUCAGGGCCCUCAGAAAAAAAGGGUUGAAUCAGUUGGUUAUCAAUUAUUGAUUUACAUUACUCUUGCCAUAUUUCUUUGGUUGAUUUUUUUUUUUUUAUGUUUCAUGUAUUUGUUUCAACCACUGUUGCCUGAUCCUCAUAGAAACAUUGAACAUGACUUAAGAUCAUUGCCGCCUUCAAAGAGAGACAUAACGAAACGGUAUCUGUUUUAAAUUUAAAUAAAUUUGUUCCUAUACUUGC